AUAUCCUAAGAAGAUAACGAAAUCUGCUCUUCUUGGUGAAGAAGUCAACAUCAGCUGUCAGAUCCCAGAGGAACAUAAAGUUCAUUUCUGCAAAGAGGAUGAUAAUCACAUCUGUCAAAACAUCCGCACAUCUACAGUGACAGAAAUGAAUGGUUCAUCUGAGAGAAAUGAAGAGAGAGUUUUUACAGUGAGCAUCAGUAAUGUGAGCGUGAGAGAUGCUGGAGUUUACUGGUGUGGAGCAGAAACCAGAGACACACAUUUGACUUUCAUCUCCCUGACCACCAAAAUUCAGAUCAACGUCAUCAAUUCCUUCAUGAUCAUCAUUAUUUGUGUGUGUGUGAUUCUGCUGCUGAUUGGUGGAUUCACUCUGACUGUGUGUGAAUUAAGACACAAGAGACGAGGAAGAACCUCGACAUCAGACAAGAGAAAGAGAGAGAGAAAUAGAAUGUCAUCAUGUGCAGAAAGCAGAUGUGAUUCUCUCACAGAUCCUGGAUCAGCUCAAAAUAACAGUCACGAUGAACU